rnacentral:rRNA from 1 species
AUUGAACGCUGGCGGCAGGCCUAACACAUGCAAGUCGAGCGGAAGAAGGGAGCUUGCUCCUGGAUUCAGCGGCGGACGGGUGAGUAAUGCCUAGGUAUCUGCCUGGUAGUGGGGGAUAACGUCCGGAAACGGGCGCUAAUACCGCAUACGUCCUGAGGGAGAAAGUGGGGGAUCUUCGGACCUCACGCUAUCAGAUGAGCCUAGGUCGGAUUAGCUAGUUGGUGGGGUAAAGGCCUACCAAGGCGACGAUCCGUAACUGGUCUGAGAGGAUGAUCAGUCACACUGGAACUGAGACACGGUCCAGACUCCUACGGGAGGCAGCAGUGGGGAAUAUUGGACAAUGGGCGAAAGCCUGAUCCAGCCAUGCCGCGUGUGUGAAGAAGGUCUUCGGAUUGUAAAGCACUUUAAGUUGGGAGGAAGGGCAGUAAGUUAAUACCUUGCUGUUUUGACGUUACCAACAGAAUAAGCACCGGCUAACUUCGUG